AUACAAGCUGGCUUGCCCGCGAUGACGGUGUAUCAGUCGAUAAAUCUAUUGGCUGACCUGCCGCCAUCGCAGGCAAGCCAGCUCCCAC
rnacentral:misc_RNA from 1 species